rnacentral:rRNA from 1 species
UAGGGUUUGAUUAUGGCUCAGAUUGAACGCUGGCGGCAGGCCUAACACAUGCAAGUCGAGCGCGAAAACACUUCGGUGUGAGUAAAGCGGCGGACGGGUGAGUAACGCGUAGGAAUCUACCUAGUAGUGGGGGACAACUCGGGGAAACUCGAGCUAAUACCGCAUAAGCCCUACGGGGGAAAGCGGGGGACCUUCGGGCCUCGUGCUAUUAGAUGAGCCUGCGUUGGAUUAGCUAGUUGGUGGGGUAAUAGCCUACCAAGGCGACGAUCCAUAGCUGGUCUGAGAGGAUGAUCAGCCACACCGGGACUGAGACACGGCCCGGACUCCUACGGGAGGCAGCAGUGGGGAAUAUUGCGCAAUGGGCGAAAGCCUGACGCAGCCAUGCCGCGUGUGUGAAGAAGGCCUUCGGGUUGUAAAGCACUUUCAAUUGGGAGGAAAGGUUCACGGUUAAUAACCGUGAGCUGUGACGUUACCUUUAGAAGAAGCACCGGCUAACUCCGUGCCAGCCGCCGCGGUAAUUCA